GAUGAACGCUAGCUACAGGCUUAACACAUGCAAGUCGAGGGGCAUCAGGAAGAAAGCUUGCUUUCUUUGCUGGCGACCGGCGCACGGGUGAGUAACACGUAUCCAACCUGCCCUUUACUCGGGGAUAGCCUUUCGAAAGAAAGACUAAUACCCGAUAGCAUAAUGAUUCCGCAUGGUUUCAUUAUUAAAGGAUUCCGGUAAAGGAUGGGGAUGCGUUCCAUUAGGUUGUUGGUGAGGUAACGGCUCACCAAGCCUUCGAUGGAUAGGGGUUCUGAGAGGAAGGUCCCCCACAUUGGAACUGAGACACGGUCCAAACUCCUACGGGAGGCAGCAGUGAGGAAUAUUGGUCAAUGGGCGCUAGCCUGAACCAGCCAAGUAGCGUGAAGGAUGAAGGCUCUAUGGGUCGUAAACUUCUUUUAUAUAAGAAUAAAGUGCAGUAUGUAUACUGUUUUGUAUGUAUUAUAUGAAUAAGGAUCGGCUAACUCCGUGCCAGCAGCCGCGGUAAUACGGAGGAUCCGAGCGUUAUCCGGAUUUAUUGGGUUUAAAGGGAGCGUAGGUGGACUGGUAAGUCAGUUGUGAAAGUUUGCGGCUCAACCGUAAAAUUGCAGUUGAUACUGUCAGUCUUGAGUACAGUAGAGGUGGGCGGAAUUCGUGGUGUAGCGGUGAAAUGCUUAGAUAUCACGAAGAACUCCGAUUGCGAAGGCAGCUCACUGGACUGCAACUGACACUGAUGCUCGAAAGUGUGGGUAUCAAACAGG
rnacentral:rRNA from 1 species